rnacentral:rRNA from 1 species
UGGGGAAUAUUGGACAAUGGGCGAAAGCCUGAUCCAGCCAUGCCGCGUGUGUGAAGAAGGUCUUCGGAUUGUAAAGCACUUUAAGUUGGGAGGAAGGGCAGUAAGCUAAUACCUUGCUGUUUUUGACGUUACCGACAGAAUAAGCACCGGCUAACUCUGUGCCA